GACCUGGAUCUAUGCGAUUGCAACACCCAAAUCUUGUCAGAACCGGAAGGUAGCAGCAACACGGGAGGCUUGUAAUAGGCGUAGUCUCCGGGUCGCCCUAUU
rnacentral:SRP_RNA from 1 species